GAUAUACCUGGACAGUCUUCAAAUACUUCAGAGAUCUACAGAAUAUGGCAUCUAAAAUGUUUAAUUAAAAAGCUUUUCAUGAUAGAGGGACAUGCUGGCUCCUGGCAGGACCUUUAUAUCAUCCAAAGAAGAAGGCUGGGCACAGAAAAACCUCCACCCAGAACUUGCUCCAGAGUGGCAGCAUCAGCCACUGAGAUGGGCACAGAAGUACCUCAACUGCUGCCAGGGCCUUCUUCAGACUAUGGACAACAGAACUCUUGGAACCCAUUGCCUCACUUUUGCCUAGACAAAGUAGCAGCCUACUUUGGACCAGUGUCCUUCCCACAAGUUCCUAUCCCACAACCAUCAGAUCUUCUGAGGCCUGGCAGCCAAAGACUGAUAUUGUUGACCUGAGAACUCUGCCUUCAAUGACCAUGAAGACCCUGGGGUGGUUAUCUCGGUAGCCAACAGUUCACUCCUCCUGCCCCGGCCAAGGCCAACCCACAGAGAGUCCUCCAGAUACGCCAGACCCUGCACCAGCUCCGAGGAUGCCAACCACCAACCAAGGAUGCCAGCUGGGAUGGAUGCACCCUCACCUCCAGAGAAACAGCAGAUGUGAUGGCUCAUAUACUCCUAAAGAAUACGUCAUCCCUCGAUUCACUGCUGGUACCACCUCUCCAGGCUCAAGCAGGCACCUACCCAGUAAGCAGAGCCUGGUUUUCCAAGAUGUCCCAAUAAAGGGCAUAUCCACCCUUGUGUCUCACUCA